CCUACGGGUGGCAGCAGUGGGGAAUAUUGGACAAUGGGGGAAACCCUGAUCCAGCGACGCCGCGUGAGCGAAGAAGUAUUUCGGUAUGUAAAGCUCUAUUAGCAGGGAAGAAAAUGACGGUACGUGACUAAGAUGCCCCGGCUAAAUACGUGCCAGGCAGCCGGGUAAUACGUCUGGGGCAGCCGUUAUCCGGAUGUUCUGGGGGUAAAGGGAGCGGAGGUGGUUUGGCAAGUCUGGUGGGAAAGGCGGGGGCUCAACCCCAGGUCUGCCUUGGAAACUGUGUAGCUGGAGUGCAGGAGAGGCAGGCGGAAUUCCUGGUGUAGCGGUGAAAUGCGUAGAUAUCAGGAGGAACACCGGCGGCGAAGGCGGCCUGCUGGACUGAAACUGACGCUGAGGCUCGAAAGCGUGGGGAGCAAACAGGAUUAGAUACCCGUGUAGUC
rnacentral:rRNA from 1 species